rnacentral:rRNA from 1 species
CAAUAGCGUAUAUUAAAGUUGUUGCGGUUAAAAAGCUCGUAGUUGGAUUUCUGGUCGGAAGCUCCUGUCCUCUGAUGAGCGUACAAGUGCGUCCUACCAUCCUUCUGUUAACCUUUAAGGCUUUCGCGGCUUUCUAGGGGCUCAGAUAUUUUACCUUGAGAAAAUUAGAGUGUUUCAGGCAGGCUAGCGCCGGAAUACAUUAGCAUGGAAUAAUGGAAUAGGACUUUUGCCUCUUCUGUUGGUCAUGAGGCUCGAGUAAUGAUUAAUAGGGAUAGUUGGGGGCAUUAGUACUUAACUGUCAGAGGUGAAAUUCUCGGAUUUGUUAAAGACUAACUUAUGCGAAAGCAUUUGCCAAGGAUGUUUUCAUUA